rnacentral:lncRNA from 1 species
UAUUAUGAUAUCUUCAUUCUUGUUAUCAUCUAUUCAUGCCUUGACUCAACCUUUAUGCUCCCUCAUGUAUUUUUCCAUUAAAGGGCAUCUAGGUUGUUUCCAGGGUCUGGCUAUUACAAAUAAUGCUGAUAUGGACAUAAUUGAGCAAACAUCCUUCUGGCUACUAAAAUUGUCCAUACCAUGGUGGUGGAAAGAUGGAUCUACUGUUACAACAGGACACUGCCCUUGUAGAAGACAUCAUGAGUUUGGUCCCAGUACCUGCAAUGGGCAGCUCACAACCACUGUGGUUCCAAUCAAGAUCACUUGCCAUCUUCUGGACUUCUGAGAGAGCUGUACUCAUCCAUACACAUAUUCACACUCAGACACAUACA